UACGUAGGGGGCAAGCGUUGUCCGGAAUCAUUGGGCGUAAAGGGCGCGUAGGCGGAUAGUUUAGUCAGAGGUGAAAGCCCAGGGCUCAACCUUGGAACUGCCUUUGAUACUGGCUAUCUUGAGUUCGGGAGAGGUGAGUGGAAUGCCGAGUGUAGAGGUGAAAUUCGUAGAUAUUCGGCGGAACACCAGUGGCGAAGGCGACUCACUGGCCCGAUACUGACGCUGAGGCGCGAAAGCGUGGGGAGCAAACAGG
rnacentral:rRNA from 1 species